rnacentral:rRNA from 1 species
AUUAAGCUAACCAGUACUAAUUACCCGUGAGGCUUAACCAUACAACGCCAAAGUGGUUU